rnacentral:misc_RNA from 1 species
CAACCCUCAAGCUCUGCUUGGUACUGGGCCGCACCGUUCCGGUGGGCUCCAAAGUUAGUGGCGGUGCCGGUCGGCUCCAAGCGUAGUAGCACUCUCGCUUCUGGAUGUCGGUCGUCGCCCGCCAGGAAACCCCUUCUCAA